rnacentral:lncRNA from 1 species
GUAAUAUCUAUUUUCUGAAAAUAAUAAACAUUUCAAAUCUCAUUAUAUAGACAAUUUGGGGUAUUCUUGCAUUGUAUUUCGAUCCAUUCGGAACAUUGAUAUGUUGUGUAAAUAAAUUCAGAGUAGUUACACAACAUACACGACUUGCUACAUGUCCCUUCCUUAUUAUGUUUUUUCUUCAAUUUUGGCCCUUUAAUAAUUUAACUGCUAUAACUAGGAGAUUACCAUUAUACUGACAUCUGCAUCUCCAAGGGCAAUCAGUAGGCUGGCAGUUACCAGCAAACAUAUAAAUUAGUAAGAAAGAAAUAAUAGAAAGGGUUUUUAGCAAGUCUAACAUCAGACAAGUAAAACGGAUGUCCACAUAUAAAUCUAAGUCGAUGAUGGCCUGCUAUCUACAACGACAACAAUGCCGCAUGUAUCUGCUCGACACUAAUAUAUUGCUAAUUCCCCAUAAAUGUCAAAACAACCUUACUGGAUGAGUGGUAGCUUGCUCGCUAGCUUUCUCGCCUCAGAUGCUAAGGGAUGACGGGUUCGACCACCGGCUGAAUUUUAGUGUUUGCUGCGUUCCCGCAAGCACGCGUUGUCAAGAAAUGUGUCCCUGGUAGGGUGAAAUGUUUAUCCUUCGGAAUGUUAACUUGUGAACUAGCACGCGAGAUCUAAUUAAACAUUGUUCGUUCAUUAACAUGAAAACGCCUUGACGAAAUAUUUUGUUUCUUGUAACUAAAUGAUGGUCAAAUUCAAUUUUCACGACUAAAUCUUUUCUAUGACUCGUUAUCGAGUUUUAGGCCAUUUCAUUAUGUGAUUGAGAUAUUUCCC